rnacentral:tRNA from 1 species
GAGGGUAUAGCUCAGUGGCAGAGCACAUGCUUAGCAUUCAUGAGGUCCUGGGUUCAAUCCCCAGUACCUCUU